UCCAUGGUGGAAAAUAUCAAUUCCACUUUGUCCAAACUUCACGUCCUGAAUUAAGUUCAAAUUCUCAUUCUGGAACUAAGUUAAAGCCUGUAAAAAGAAAAGCUUCCUGUACAUUUCCAAAUGAAUGGUCAAGUAUCUUGCUGACAAAUUUACGAUUCUGUUCUCAUGCCAUAACUAUGCAGAACUUAUUUCUGAAUUUGAUUUUAGACGAAGGAAUUGUUGAUUGCAAAAAACUAAGUUUUCUUAAGUUAGAAUAUGACACUGCUCUAUUAGCAUCAGCCAAAACCUGCACCAAAGGUGUUUUUGUUUGUCAUGUAUUUAAAAUCAUUGUAGACAAUGCUGAAUAUCUGUACAUCCGCUAUGUUGAGUCUGGAGUGUAUGCUGGCCUAAUGGAACAGAAAUAUUUGCAAGAAAUCAAAGAUACAUUUCAUUACACUGACAAUAAUAUGUUUUUGCAUAAUACAUUAACAGUGGAAGAUAUACAGAACAUGGAAUCUGAUCAUAUAAAAGAUAAAAAGGAAAAGCCGAAUACAUAUAAGCCCAGCAGCAGACUUAAUGAUUUCUUUAAGCAAAAAUUCAUUCCAGGUAUUGCUGAUACAAGACAAAUGAAUGACACUGAUAAUAUUAAUUGUUUAUCCUUUGCAGUAUCAAUUUUGCCCUUUUCUUCAACCUCAACUGCCAAGUUUAUGGAUGCUUGUACUGCAGGAAAGGAAGACCGUCUUCAAGCUUUGCUUUUAGAUUUUAGGCACUCAAAAUUGGAACAGGUUCCUCGAAACUCGAGGGAAAUAUUUCAGCAGCAAUAUGAAGGAGAAGAAACCCUUUUAAGUCAGUCAAAGGCAUUAAAUUGUUUACCAGGUGAUGUCAAAAGAAAAACCGAACUAUUCAAAGGUGAUCCAAAAUUUGCAUCCAACUUCAUAAACAAGAAAAAACCUCAACUCAGAACAUCACUUAGAUAUCUUACUUUCAGUCUCUUUUUGCAGAAUGAAAUUAAUACAAUUUUCACUAAGUAUAGAACAUAUUACCCAGAUUUAAAUGCGGUUCAAUGUGAGGUUUUAGAAAUUCCUGCACUAGAGAGGCCAUCUAAGAAGAGGAAAAGCACAGCCUCUGUGAAGGUGACAAAAGAUGUGGAGCCAUUGAGUGUUAUGCAGGAAUCAAAAAAAUCUAUGUAUGAACAAUUUUCUAUUGAUUUAAUAGAGGAUGGAAAGAUAUAUAUUCAGGUAGCUGAGGAAGACACCAUGAUAUGUUGUAUGAAUGAUUAUAAUGAUUCUGGUUCUUUAAGAAAAGAAGUGUAUGUUUAUACCACUUGGCUAAAGCAAGAAUCUGGAGACUACUUCCAUUGUACCUGCAGUAUAUAUAGAACUUUAUUUGAUAUAGCUCAUAGCCAAACUCUAAAUUAUUCAAACAGGAAUAGCUGCAUGCACUGUACAUUCCUUAAGUGUAUUGUUCUUCCAAAUCUACAGAUAGAUGAAAGGGCUACAGAAACCAAAACCCGUAAAUUUGUUCAGGAGGGAAAGCAGUGUGCUGGCAAGGAUUUGAUUGAAUUAAGUGACUUUAAUGGUACACGGAAAUUUUCAGUUUUGGCAGAAGGAGAGACUAAACCUGUUUUUUUAUCACUGAGUCACAACAAGGCCAAAGCAAAUUAUACUGUGACCUGUCACAAUGGCGAGUGUCAAUCAAAGAAGGGACACAAACGAUAUUUAAAUAACUUGAAUUCUUCCAAUCUUUGCAGACAUUUAUUUGUGCUGAAACAUAAUCCAGAAUCCUGGAUUGAUUUGCAUGAAAGAAAUGCCACUAAUGAAACUUUUUUAGAUGACCAACUACUAGAUGAUGAAACAAAUGAUGAUGCUGGUGAUGGUGAUCCUGUUGAUACUAAUGACAAUUUUGAUCCUGAAACAGGUCUAUGGAAGUAUAAGUGUGAGAGCAGCCAUCCAGCAGCAGCUAGAGAGAGUGAUAUGUUGAGGCGUAACAUCAUCAAACGUGACGGAUGGAAUGAUUUGACCUUGAGUAGGCAGGCUGAUGGUUCAUUGAAGGGUCCCAAUUUCUAUCCAGAUAUGCCAGACAAUACAUGCUGCUGUGGAUCUGGAUGGUUGAAGCGAGAUGAUGAUCCAGAUUACUCUGAAAACGGGAAAUUGAUUCCUUUAGGUCGAGUUCUUACAGUUUACACACAGUUUGCGCCUGUGCAGUGUGAUGUUUACAAAAGAGUCUGUUACAACCCGAUAGACGACAGUCGCUGUGAACUUGCAUGGAAUGAAGGCCAGAGUGAAUCAAUUCAUGUUUUUAGUAGUAAAACAGCUGCAGGUGACGAAAUAGGAUGGGAGUUUACAUCAUCAGUAAUGAAAACUGGUUGCACUUUUUCAGCAUACUGUCAGAUGAAGGAUGAACUUUACAGAACUCGUGACCCAAAGGCCAAGUUUAUGGAUGCAACAGUUUUUUUAAAAUGGUGGUUUAGUUGGGCAGCUAAUAUGAACAUUGAUUUCAGACAACCAUGUGACAUUUGUAGGUAUGAGCCUAAUAGACUGUGCUGUGAUGGAACCAGAGUAGGCGUAGGUUUCCGUCAUUCAAAUUUCACAGAAAUAAGUAAACCUGAUAGUUCUUUACAGACACAGCAAACAUUGCAUCGACGGAUGGACAGAUGUUACCUGAAGAAUAAGCCUGGAGUUGAAAAGAGACAGAUGAUCGCUUAUCGUGAAGCAUUGGAUAAUAUAGCCCGAACUACAGUUGCAGAAUUUGAACCGUUAGAUAUUCCAGAAAAUAAUGAUAGAAUUAAUUUACUUAUGCAGGCUCUACCUGAGGAGGCUCAUCAAUCAUUCCAGCGAUUUACUCGAGGGAUGUCAGAAUUUGAAAGAGUAGCUUAUGCAUCUGUCCUUAAGAUGUUGGCUACAACAGCAUCUGUGACAAGCAUUUUGUCACCAGAAUAUGCACUUUUCUUGCAGGAAUUUCUAACUAAUGAAAAUCUUUCAGAUUUUGAGUUUAACAGACAGAUGUAUGAGAUGAGAUCAUUUGCUCCAGAAAUACGGGACUUGAUCGCAGAAUCGAUGUUGAACAAUAACAACAUUCUACCUGAUGACAUUAAACUUUUUCUAGUUCAUCUUACUAAUGAGUCUCUAAACUUACCAGUUUAUGCCCCAGAGGAUGCUACUUUUCAAUUCGGAACAUACAACCCUGAGAAGCUGGGCCGGGCUUAUUACUUCAAUGAACAUGGUGUUAAACUGAGGAAUGUACGCAAAUUUCAGAUAGAUGAGGACCGAGCAGGCAGAAACAAUGACCAUGAUGAUGAAGCUAUGGACUUUGAGCGAUGCAGAAAGAUUUACUCAAAAAUACAACAAUCAGCACCCGGCACAUCUAACUUGUUUCUUUGGUUUUGUCCAGAUCACGGUCAUUGCUAUGGAUUCCACAUGACAGUGGCUGAAGGCAGAAAAGAUCCAUCAGCUUCAUUAUACUCUCAUCUAGCCAAACCUCCACAAGCAGUGUUUUAUGACUUUGCCUGUAACUUACAGGAAUAUUGCCUCAACAGAGAGAGUGGGUACUACAAGAAUGUUAGAUUUUUUCACGAUAUUUUUCAUGGUUAUUCACACAAAUGCUCUACUUCUUUUAGAAGCUCUCGACUUCAAGGAUUUGAAAGUGUGAACUCAGAAAUCUGCGAACAGUUCAACAGCUUCAUCCAGAUUCUGAAGAAAUCAGCAAGACAAAUGACACAAUCUCAUUUCUGUUUCUAUCUUCAGUUCUUUAUUCAUGAGUGGAACAGGAGAAAAAGAGUUGCUUACAAGAGGAAAAUCAGCACUGCACUAGCUGGGCUUUUAUGAAAUGUAUAACAACUUUGAUUUUCAGAGAGCUGUGCAUCAUAAAAUGAUCAAAUGAACUAUGUUUAAUUUAUAUUUCAUUCACUUCUUAUAUAUAUUUGUUUGACUUUCUCAUUUGCGUAUACUUUUGACUAGUAAUUAUCACUGCAUCUGCAAUUGUUUUCGGUUUCUGCUGUGUUUGUUAGUAUGUUUCAGUUUGAGCGAACAGACUCCAACUUUGGCUUCCAGCUUUGCUGUUGAGAAAGGUCAACAAGUUCCACCAGAAGUUCCACCAGAAAUACAUCACGUCUUUAAUGUUUGAGGCAGAUUUUCCACAGCGUCUUCAUCCAAUCUACUUGUGUCGGCAUGUGCAACUACUUAAUCUGAAGGCUUGGAGGGAAUUGUAGCUCAGUGCUUCAUCCUUUAUGUGGAUAAACAAAAGGGAACCAGAAGGAUCGAUCUAAAGACAUUCUUUUCAUAAAUCUGUUGGUGUCAAACAAUAUAAUUUUGAUUGAUCAGUCUUCUUAGUGCCUGUAGUGAACAGUAUGUAUUGUAUUAUAUGUAGUAUAAUAAUCAAUUAAGUGUUGAUAAAUGUCUUACAAUUAUCGUAUAACCCUUUAUAUCAAGUUUUGUUAUUUAAUUGUAGAACAGCAAAAGAAACAUUUGUGGAUUUUAAAAGAUAAGGCAGAGGCUAUGUUUACACUGUAAAUGUUCAACUGGUGAAUUCCAUUAUUUGUUGCAAUAUCUAGAUUUUGAUAAUGUAAGGAAUGAUUUCUGAUUAAAGUAUUACAAUAGGAAUCCAAUCUCUGUUAUGCUUAAAGAUGCACUUUUACUCCCAAAUUAGAUAUUCCACAGUUUAUAUGAUUGUUUUUUAUAUAAAAAAAUAAGAUUCUUAUGAAGGAUACAGAGUUGAAUUUGAAAGAAGGUUGCA